CGUGCUGGGAAGGGUGUUCUGAACAGAGAUAACACUAGCAGAGGUGCAGAGGCAUGAGCCAGCAUGCUAUUUUGAGAAAGUCCUAGCAGUUUAUUGGCCCUGGAUGAAAAAAGAGAGCAGUGGAGAGGAAAGCAAGGUCAAUGGUGUGGUGUCAGGUGGGUCUGGGCUGAUAGAGAGAACUUGGGUUCCACCACAAAGAAGCUAAAAAGCAAAAAGAGGGUGUGUGAUGGGGAAGCAGCCGGCCACAGCGUCCAGGAUCAUGGCUCAAUCCGGAAGACAAUCUUACUUGUUAAUUUGUGUUUUGCUGCCCUGAUAAACAAUCAGGGCUAUAUCUCACCAGAAGAUAAGAGAUCUAUCUGAUGUGGCAGGUGGUAAAAUAGCAUGGCCAAAGGAACAGUAAGACUGUCAAAUUCGGAUUUGAAAGGUGUGGAGCAGAGUGGCCCUUGCUGCACCAUGAUCUUAGGAGAGCCGGGGAAGACACACAGCAAUGGCACACACAGAUUGGUUUCAAGUCACCAAGCUGGUCCAGGCUACAAGUCUCACCAUCCAGGAAAAAUAGCAGCUGUAGCAGUUCCCCUCCUGCCUAGGCUUACCAUGGGGAAGAGCACAAUUCUAGCCCUGCUCCUGGGGUGAUGUCCAUGGUUCUGACUGUGGAGGCCUCAACCCCACUCAAGAGAAGGUGCUCCAAUCUCUGGCCAAAACUACAAUGCCUGUGCAGCCACACUGCCAGGUCACUAAGGUAUGUCUUUCUAUAUACCUAGAUUUAAAAUAGUGUACUGCUCUCAGUCUUGGAUCUGGGAAAAUGUCUGCAGCUUUUUCCAGUGUCUUUCCAUCACAGCAUCUCCAAGCCUCUCCCCAAGUUAGCCCCAGGGCUUGAGAGAAACAGUGUUCUCCCUUGGCCUAGGUUGCUUGGAUUCCCAGUGGAAAGGUGAGUCACAGAGACAGACUCUCUGCCCUCUCACCUACCAGGUCUUUACUCAUUUUUAUCAACCACAUGCUGCCACAGGGGCAGUUUGCCAGAUUAUCUUCUUCAGGAUCUGGGGUGACCUUCAUGAUUCAAGAGGAUUCCCAUUUUCCUUCUUGAUUUAAAGCUCACAGAAUUUAUUUCUAUGUACUAUCUUGCUAUUUCCAAAUGGCGGAGGCAUGCUGAAAGCCCCUAAUCUGCCAUCUUGGGAAAA
rnacentral:lncRNA from 10 species